AGUUAGUCUGGAGGACGUGACACUAUUUAACAAAAACCAAAUCUUAAUCAACGGCCAUGUUGAAGACCAUUCUUUCAAGAGGCAUAUGGCCAAGUUAAGGGAUGAGUAGUUUGAUGUGGUGAAACUCUCAAAUCUCAAUAAACUAAGCAAACAUUGAUGCUUGUGAGCCACGGCACUUGGCCACCAUAUGUGGCAAAUUGACAAGCACAACUUCCGACCAACUCUACCGAUCAUCACAUUUCUUGGGCAAAUUGAUAAUUAUUGGGAUGGUUGUACU
rnacentral:lncRNA from 1 species